AGAGUUUGAUCCUGGCUCAGGAUGAACGCUAGCGACAGGCUUAACACAUGCAAGUCGAGGGGCAGCACAGGUAGCAAUACCGGGUGGCGACCGGCGCACGGGUGAGUAACGCGUAUGCAACUUACCUAUCAGAGGGGGAUAACCCGGCGAAAGUCGGACUAAUACCGCAUGAAGCAGGGAUCCCGCAUGGGAAUAUUUGCUAAAGAUUCAUCGCUGAUAGAUAGGCAUGCGUUCCAUUAGGCAGUUGGCGGGGUAACGGCCCACCAAACCGACGAUGGAUAGGGGUUCUGAGAGGAAGGUCCCCCACAUUGGUACUGAGACACGGACCAAACUCCUACGGGAGGCAGCAGUGAGGAAUAUUGGUCAAUGGCCGAGAGGCUGAACCAGCCAAGUCGCGUGAGGGAUGAAGGUUCUAUGGAUCGUAAACCUCUUUUAUAAGGGAAUAAAGUGCGGGACGUGUCCUAUUUUGUAUGUACCUUAUGAAUAAGGAUCGGCUAACUCCGUGCCAGCAGCCGCGGUAAUACGGAGGAUCCGAGCGUUAUCCGGAUUUAUUGGGUUUAAAGGGUGCGUAGGCGGCCUUUUAAGUCAGCGGUGAAAGUCUGUGGCUCAACCAUAGAAUUGCCGUUGAAACUGGGGGGCUUGAGUAUGUUUGAGGCAGGCGGAAUGCGUGGUGUAGCGGUGAAAUGCAUAGAUAUCACGCAGAACCCCGAUUGCGAAGGCAGCCUGCCAAGCCAUGACUGACGCUGAUGCACGAAAGCGUGGGGAUCAAACAGGAUUAGAUACCCUGGUAGUCCACGCAGUAAACGAUGAUCACUAGCUGUUUGCGAUACACUGUAAGCGGCACAGCGAAAGCGUUAAGUGAUCCACCUGGGGAGUACGCCGGCAACGGUGAAACUCAAAGGAAUUGAC
rnacentral:rRNA from 1 species